rnacentral:rRNA from 1 species
CAGCAGCCACGGGAAUACGUAGGGUGCGAGCGUUAAUCGGAAUUACUGGGCGUAAAGCGUGCGCAGGCGGUUCGCUAAGACAGAUGUGAAAUCCCCGGGCUUAACCUGGGAACUGCAUUUGUGACUGGCGGGCUAGAGUAUGGCAGAGGGGGGUAGAAUUCCACGUGUAGCAGUGAAAUGCGUAGAGAUGUGGAGGAAUACCGAUGGCGAAGGCAGCCCCCUGGGCCAAUACUGACGCUCAUGCACGAAAGCGUGGGGAGCAAACAGGAUUAGAUACCCCCGUAGUCCCUGUCUCUUAUAC